UCUGACUGCAGAGAGGAUGACAGAGAACAGUGGACACACAGUUUAACAUGAUGGACUAUAGGACAGGACUGCUGCUUUUAACUCUCUGCUGGGCAGGUGUUGAUGGUCAGACUCUGACAGAAUCUGAACCAGUGGUUAAAAGGCCUGGAGAAUCCCACAGACUGACCUGUACAGGAUCUGGAUUCACAUUCAGUAGCCACUUGAUGGGUUGGGUCAGACAGGCUCCUGGAAAAGGACUGGAGUGGGUUGCCACCAUUGAUGUUACUAGCAUUUACUACUCUCAGUCAGUCAAAGGCCGAUUUACCAUCUCCAGAGACAACAGCAGACAGCAGGUGUAUCUGCAGAUGAACAGUCUGAAGACUGAAGAUUCUGCUGUUUAUUAUUGUGCUCGGCACACACAGUGAUUGGAGUAGGUUGAGCAGCUGUACAAAAAUCUUCAGUACUCAGUCUUACUGAUAGACCCACAGUGAUCAUAUAUUUAUUUUGUCUUUGUCACUGUUAUCUUUUAAUGAACACC